ACUCCUACGGGAGGCAGCAGUGGGGAAUAUUGCACAAUGGGGGAAACCCUGAUGCAGCCAUGCCGCGUGUGUGAAGAAGGCCUUCGGGUUGUAAAGCACUUUCAGUAGGGAGGAAGGUAGUGUAGUUAACACCUGGCAUUAUUUUGACGUACCANACAGAAGAAGCACCGGCUAACUCCUGCCAGCAGCCGCGGUAAUACGGAGGGUGCGAGCGUUAAUCGGAAUUACUGGGCGUAAAGCGCAUGCAGGCGGCCUGUUAAGUCAGAUGUGAAAGCCCGGGGCUUAACCUCGGAAUUGCAUUUGAAACUGGCAGGCUAGAGUCUUGUAGAGGGGGGUAGAAUUUCAGGUGUAGCGGUGAAAUGCGUAGAGAUCUGAAGGAAUACCAGUGGCGAAGGCGGCCCCCUGGACAAAGACUGACGCUCAGAUGCGAAAGCGUGGGGAGCAAACAGGAUUAGAU
rnacentral:rRNA from 1 species